CUUCCCCUGAUAAAUCUAUAUUAGAAAAAUAGUCAAUUUAGUGCUGUUUAAAAUGAAUGGAUCUCUAUUUCAAGAUGGCAUGUCUAGUACACUUACGUGCACUGCCUCACAAGCACACUGAAAUGACACAAAAGAUUAUAAGCCAGAAGCAAACAAAGGCAGGCAAGGAAAUUUGAGGUUGUUGCAUCUGGAAGUAAACAUUUGGCUACUUCUAAUAAAACAGAGGGACAAAUUUUGAUGACCUGAAAAAUUCAGUUCUAUCUUUUGAUUUGGUCUGGAUACUUGGAGGUCAGCAACCGAGAGCAGGAAGGAGGCACAGCAACAACAGAACAACAACAAGGGGCUGCGACAGGGGCGGCGUGGGUCAAAAGGAAGCAACCUGGAGGAGAGUCCUCCUUGCGGCUUGGAGCAGAGCUUCAGGUUGGGCACCACGACAGAGCUGGGCCAGAAGUCUAACACAGCCCGUUUGGAACACAACCUGGGAUACUUGUGUGGUUGGGUUCAAUCAGUCAAGGGAAACAAGAAGCUAAUCCGUGGCUGGGAAUGCUCGUGGAAUACUCAGCGCAAAGACUGCCCGCAAGCACAAAGGGUAUCAACUCUUAGGUGCUCUGACCCUGGAGAAGAGGGAUUUCACUGAGAUGAGAAGGAUGCGUGAUGGGAUCCAUGGGCACUGGAGGCUUAUAUUUCCCUCUCAUGCCAUGCUCAAGUGAUGGGAGGGCAGAGGCAUGAGAGGGCGCUAAGGGACUAAACGCCAUGGCCACAGGAGCUCUGGCCAAGGCCCCAGGAGUCAAGAAGUACACAGAGGGCAUGGAUGCGUUGGAAAGGGGAGGUGCUGGCCUUUUAAAGAUCAUAUGGCUUGGACAAGGAACAUGUAAGUGGUAAAAAUGAAGGGCAGAGGCUUCUCCCCCAGUAUUCUUCUUUGUGUAAGGCCCUUUCCAUGUCCCUGCCCCCUCAUAUUCCCUUAUUCCCCAAACGUGUCUGAGAUUGACUUUCCUGUCUACCCUAGUGAGUGGGUGGGGAGGACAAGCCAGGUUUGUUGGCUUCAGAAAGGUAAGUACACCACUUGCAUUUGAGGGGUAUGUAACAAAUUCAUACUGUAUCCAUCAUGCAUACUUGAUGGAGGAAUAUAUACUCCAAGAGGAAUCAGCUUUAAAAAGCUAAAUUAUAAGGUACUUAGAAUUCGAAAUGCAAUUUCUCUCUUGUAGAAAGUUUUAUAAAUGCCAACUGCCCUCUUGCAUGAUCCCACAAAAGCUUACCAUCAAUAUAAAAUGUAGUAUAUAGAUUCAAGAUCUCUUAUUGUAAACCCUUGGAACCACACUGUUUCAGAAUUUGGGGGUGGGUUUUAAAGGUGAGUGCAUAUAUGGUAUUUUCCACAGUUCUCUCAUUGGGGUCUGGAACAACACCCUUUAAUGAAACUAUAUUUUUGCAGUGAAAUUAUAAUCACUAUUCACACUAAGUGAAAUAAGUAAAGAUCUGUUUCAUAUUAGUUCAAAUAAGGUUUUUGUUGCCAAAUCAACUUUGAUGCCAAGGAUAUGAAAGAUGUUGGGUUUUUGGAGAUUUGUAAAUUUCAAAUGUGGACAAGGAAUUGUGUGUUUGUAGGAUCUAACCAUGAUGUUCAUUUUUGAUGGAGUCCAGGCAUGAGAAAAGGAGUGGACUUUUCAUUUCCUGCCCUGGGCCUUGCCAGUGGAGGUAGGACCCCCAGCUCUCUAGAAAAGUAACAUUUAACCUUUUGAGACUCUGGUGAAAGGUACAGGGCCUUCUAGAAAAGUUUACGAACACACAUAGACACAAAAAAAUGCAUAGAAUUUCAUGGGGUUCACAGACAUGUGUCUUAGAUAAAGAAUCCCUGCGCUAUAGCAGGGGAACUGAAGAUUCUGGGUGUUCCAGAAGUGGCACAGAGGGUCUUGGACACAGCUGGUAACAGCAGACUGGGGAUGCAAGACACAGGGUGGACAUGGCGGUGGCAGAUGCACCCCCCAAACAGCAGGCCCUUUAUUGUCCUCCUGUUGACUGAAGUGCUCUGAUGGUCAACGUGGACAAGAGCCCCAGCUGUUUCUAUAUAAGGAAUACUUAUGAGCUCAAGAUUGCCUCAAAUGGGAGGAAGGAAUUACAGUCUGGGCAGGGAAGGAGGAAGAGAGGAGAUCAAAGAUAACACAAGCUAAUUCCAAUUUGGACAGCUGGGAGUUGACAGAGCUGGUACUUUAAAAAUCUACAAAGAGCCGGGCGCGGUGGCUCACGCCUGUAAUCCCAGCACUUUGGGAGGCCGAGGCAGGCGGAUCACGAGGUCAGGAGAUCGAGACCAUCCUGGCUAACACGGUGAAACCCUGUCUCUACUAAAAAUACAAAAAAUUAGCCAGGCGUAGUGGCGGGUGCCUGUAGUCCCAGCUACUCAGGAGGCUGAGGCAGGAGAAUGGCGUGAACCCGGGAGGCAGAGCUUGCAGUGAGCCGAGAUCGCGCCACUGCACUCCAGCCUGGGUGACAGAGCAAGACUCUGUCUCAAAAAAAAAAAAAAAAAAAAAAAAAAAAUCUACAAAGAAAUGACAUUAUUAACAGCCUUUUGAACCAUCUCUGUUUCAAAAGAUGGUGUUUGCCAAUAUGUCUCACCAGACUUGGAGACCAUCCUUUUGGGGUGCUGAGAUAGGUAUUUACAUUUCACUGGCAAUUCAAACACUGAUUCUUCAGCUGAGAUGAAAGGCAAGAAGCCAGUGAAAUCCAAGUAUUGUGGUACUCUGUAACAAGGCCACCUGUUAACUAAAAACGGAACUAACCUCACUAGUAGGCUCCAGUAGGGUAAGCCAUGCAGGGGGCUAGGCUUUACACGUGAAGCCUUUCUGUUAUUUUAUAAUUACUCUUAAUUUCUCUAUUUCCUAAUUUCUUCUAUAAAAGUUCACCUAUAAUACACAUUUACAAUAUGGGAAAACAAUAAAACUGAGUAUGAACCACUUCAAACACUAGUGCAGUAAAAUAACAUCAUUAUGACAGAAAUUUGGUCUUGCUUGGGAAAUUUUACUCCUUACCUUUAGAUUGGGAGAUUUUAGAAACAUUAUACUUUUUCUUCUCCUUUUCUUUUACCACAGGCUG